rnacentral:rRNA from 1 species
UACGGAGGGUGCAAGCGUUACCCGGAAUCACUGGGCGUAAAGGGCAUGUAGGCGGCUAUUUAAGUCUGGAUUUAAAGACCGAGGCUCAACCUCGGGAAUGGUCUGGAUACUGGAUGGCUGGAGGACUGGAGGGGAGAGUGGAAUUCUCGGUGUAGCGGUGGAAUGCGUAGAUACCGAGAGGAACACCAGUGGCGAAGGCGGCUCUCUGGACAGUGCGUGACGCUGAGGUGCGAAAGUGUGGGGAGCAAACCGG